AGCGAACGCUGGCGGCAGGCUUAACACAUGCAAGUCGAGCGGGCACCUUCGGGUGUCAGCGGCAGACGGGUGAGUAACACGUGGGAACGUGCCCUUUGGUUCGGAACAACUCCGGGAAACUGGAGCUAAUACCGGAUAAGCCCUUCGGGGAAGGAUUAUCGCCAAAGGAUCGGCCCGCGUCUGAUUAGCUAGUUGGUGAGGUAACGGCUCACCAAGGCGACGAUCAGUAGCUGGCUGAGAGGAUGAUCAGCCACACUGGGACUGAGACACGGCCCAGACUCCUACGGGAGGCAGCA
rnacentral:rRNA from 1 species